rnacentral:tRNA from 1 species
GGUGCUGUGGCUUAGUUGGUCAAAGUGCCUGUCUAGUAAACUAGUAAACAGGAGAUCCUGGGUUCAAAUCCCAGCAGUGCCU